AGAGUUUGAUCAUGGCUCAGAUUGAACGCUGGCGGCAGGCCUAACACAUGCAAGUCGAACGGUAACAGGAAGAAGCUUGCUUCUUUGCUGACGAGUGGCGGACGGGUGAGUAAUGUCUGGGAAACUGCCUGAUGGAGGGGGAUAACUACUGGAAACGGUAGCUAAUACCGCAUAACGUCGCAAGACCUAAGAGGGGGACCUUCGGGCCUCUUGCCAUCGGAUGUGCCCAGAUGGGAUUAGCUAGUAGGUGGGGUAACGGCUCACCUAGGCGACGAUCCCUAGCUGGUCUGAGAGGAUGACCAGCCACACUGGAACUGAGACACGGUCCAGACUCCUACGGGAGGCAGCAGUGGGGAAUAUUGCACAAUGGGCGCAAGCCUGAUGCAGCCAUGCCGCGUGUAUGAAGAAGGCCUUCGGGUUGUAAAGUACUUUCAGCGGGGAGGAAGGGAGUAAAGUUAAUACCUUUGCUCAUUGACGUUACCCGCAGAAGAAGCACCGGCUAACUCCGUGCCAGCAGCCGCGGUAAUACGGAGGGUGCAAGCGUUAAUCGGAAUUACUGGGCGUAAAGCGCACGCAGGCGGUUUGUUAAGUCAGAUGUGAAAUCCCCGGGCUCAACCUGGGAACUGCAUCCGAUACUGGCAAGCUUGAGUCUCGUAGAGGGGGGUAGAAUUCCAGGUGUAGCGGUGAAAUGCGUAGAGAUCUGGAGGAAUACCGGUGGCGAAGGCGGCCCCCUGGACGAAGACUGACGCUCAGGUGCGAAAGCGUGGGGAGCAAACAGGAUUAGAUACCCUGGUAGUCCACGCCGUAAACGAUGUCGACUUGGAGGUUGUGCCCUUGAGGCGUGGCUUCCGGAGCUAACGCGUUAAGUCGACCGCCUGGGGAGUACGGCCGCAAGGUUAAAACUCAAAUGAAUUGACGGGGGCCCGCACAAGCGGUGGAGCAUGUGGUUUAAUUCGAUGCAACGCGAAGAACCUUACCUGGUCUUGACAUCCACGGAAGUUUUCAGAGAUGAGAAUGUGCCUUCGGGAACCGUGAGACAGGUGCUGCAUGGCUGUCGUCAGCUCGUGUUGUGAAAUGUUGGGUUAAGUCCCGCAACGAGCGCAACCCUUAUCCUUUGUUGCCAGCGGUCCGGCCGGGAACUCAAAGGAGACUGCCAGUGAUAAACUGGAGGAAGGUGGGGAUGACGUCAAGUCAUCAUGCCCCUUACGACCAGGGCUACACACGUGCUACAAUGGCGCAUACAAAGAGAAGCGACCUCGCGAGAGCAAGCGGACCUCAUAAAGUGCGUCGUAGUCCGGAUUGGAGUCUGCAACUCGACUCCAUGAAGUCGGAAUCGCUAGUAAUCGUGGAUCAGAAUGCCACGGUGAAUACGUUCCCGGGCCUUGUACACACCGCCCGUCACACCAUGGGAGUGGGUUGCAAAAGAAGUAGGUAGCUUAACCUUCGGGAGGGCGCUUACCACUUUGUGAUUCAUGACUGGGGUGAAGUCGAAACAAGGUAACCGUAGGGGAACCUGCGGUUG
rnacentral:rRNA from 1 species